GAUGAACGCUGGCGGCGUGCCUAAUACAUGCAAGUCGAGCGAACAGACGAGGAGCUUGCUCCUCUGACGUUAGCGGCGGACGGGUGAGUAACACGUGGAUAACCUACCUAUAAGACUGGGAUAACUUCGGGAAACCGGAGCUAAUACCGGAUAAUAUAUUGAACCGCAUGGUUCAAUAGUGAAAGACGGUUUUGCUGUCACUUAUAGAUGGAUCCGCGCCGCAUUAGCUAGUUGGUAAGGUAACGGCUUACCAAGGCAACGAUGCGUAGCCGACCUGAGAGGGUGAUCGGCCACACUGGAACUGGGACACGGUCCAGACUCCUACGGGAGGCAGCAGUAGGGUAUCUUCCGCAAUGGGCGAAAGCCUGACGGAGCAACGCCGCGUGAGUGAUGAAGGUCUUCGGAUCGUAAAACUCUGUUAUUAGGGAAGAACAAAUGUGUAAGUAACUAUGCACGUCUUGACGGUACCUAAUCAGAAAGCCCCGGCUAACUACGUG
rnacentral:rRNA from 1 species